GUGCUCACUUUGGCAGCAUACAUACUAAAAUUGGAAGGAUAUAUGGCCCCUGCACAAGGAUGACAUGCAAAUUCAUGAAGCAUUCCAUAUUUUU
ensembl:snRNA U6 U6 spliceosomal RNA